AGUGAACGCUGGCGGUAGGCCUAACACAUGCAAGUCGAACGGCAGCACAGGAAAGCUUGCUCUCUGGGUGGCGAGUGGCGGACGGGUGAGGAAUACAUCGGAAUCUACUCUGUCGUGGGGGAUAACGUAGGGAAACUUACGCUAAUACCGCAUACGACCUACGGGUGAAAGCAGGGGACCUUCGGGCCUUGCGCGAUUGAAUGAGCCGAUGUCGGAUUAGCUAGUUGGCGGGGUAAAGGCCCACCAAGGCGACGACCCGUAGCUGGUCUGAGAAGAUGAUCAGCCACACUGGAACUGAGACACGGUCCAGACUUCUACGGGAGGCAGCAGUGGGGAAUAUUGGACAAUGGGCGCAAGCCUGAUCCAGCCAUACCGCGUGGGUGAAGAAGGCCUUCGGGUUGUAAAGCCCUUUUGUUGGGAAAGAAAUCCAGCUGGCUAAUACCCGGUUGGGAUGACGGUACCCAAAGAAUAAGCACCGGCUAACUUCGUGCCAGCCGCCGCCGUAA
rnacentral:rRNA from 1 species